rnacentral:rRNA from 1 species
UCACACGUCAUGCAAUGGUACAUACAGAGGGCCGCCAACCCGCGAGGGGGAGCUAAUCCCAGAAAGUGUAUCGUAGUCCGGAUCGUAGUCUGCAACUCGACUACGUGAAGUCGGAAUCGCUAGUAAUCGCGGAUCAGCAUGUCGCGGUGAAUACGUUCCCGGGUCUUGUACACACCGCCCGUCACACCAUGGGAGCGGGUUUUACCAGAAGUAGGUAGCUUAACCGCAAGGAGGGCGCUUACCACGGUAGGAUUCGU